rnacentral:miRNA from 1 species
CUGCGCAAACGACUACCUUGCC